AGACCAUGGUGUGGACACCGUCUUUACAAUUUCUUAAACCUUUCCCACACCUCAUACAAAGAUCCACUGUCAAUUUGAACAAAACUAGUAAUAUCAUUCUUGAGUUU